rnacentral:rRNA from 1 species
GACGAACGCUGGCGGCGUGCUUAACACAUGCAAGUCGAACGGAAAGGCCCUGCUUGCAGGGUACUCGAGUGGCGAACGGGUGAGUAACACGUGGGUGAUCUGCCCUGCACUUCGGGAUAAGCCUGGGAAACUGGGUCUAAUACCGGAUAGGAGCCAUUCUUAGUGUGAUGGUUGGAAAGUUUUUUCGGUGUAGGAUGAGCUCGCGGCCUAUCAGCUUGUUGGUGGGGUAAUGGCCUACCAAGGCGGCGACGGGUAGCCGGCCUGAGAGGGUGGACGGCCAAAAUGGGACUGAGAUACGGCCCAGACUCCUACGGGAGGCAGCAGUGGGGAAUAUUGCAAAAUGGGCGCAAGCCUGAUGCAGCGACGCCGCGGGGGGGAUGACGGCCUUCGGGUUGUAAACUCCUUUCGCUAGGGACGAAGCUUUUUGUGACGGUACCUAGAUAAGAAGCACCGGCUAACUACGUG